rnacentral:siRNA from 1 species
UAAACUUCAAUUGUGUAUUUA